rnacentral:rRNA from 1 species
UACGUAGGGCGCAAGCGUUGUCCGGAAUUAUUGGGCGUAAAGAGCUCGUAGGCGGUCUGUCGCGUCUGCCGUGAAACCCGAGGCUUAACCUCGGGCUGGCGGUGGAUACGGGCAGACUAGAGGUAGGUAGGGGAGAAUGGAAUUCCCGGUGUAGCGGUGAAAUGCGCAGAUAUCGGGAGGAACACCGGUGGCGAAGGCGGUUCUCUGGACAGUUCCUGACGCUGAGGCACGAAGGCCAGGGGAGCAAACGGG